CGAAGCAACGCGAAGAACCUUACCUAAGCUUGACAUCCCAAUGACAUCUCCUUAAUCGGAGAGUUCCCUUCGGGGACAUUGGUGACAGGUGGUGCAUGGUUGUCGUCAGCUCGUGUCGUGAGAUGUUGGGUUAAGUCCCGCAACGAGCGCAACCCUUGUCUUUAGUUGCCAUCAUUAAGUUGGGCACUCUAGAGAGACUGCCAGGGAUAACCUGGAGGAAGGUGGGGAUGACGUCAAAUCAUCAUGCCCCUUAUGCUUAGGGCUACACACGUGCUACAAUGGGUAGUACAGAGGGUUGCCAAGCCGUAAGGUGGAGCUAAUCCCUUAAAGCUACUCUAAGUUAGGAUUGUAGGCUGAAACUCGCCUACAUGAAGCUGGAGUUACUAGUAAUCGCAGAUCAGAAUGCUGCGGUGAAUGCGUUCCCGGGUCUUGUACACACCGCCCGUCACACCACGGGAGUUGGAGACGCCCGAAGCCGAUUAUCUAACCUUUUGGAAGAAGUCGUCGAAGGUGGAAUCAAUAACUGGGGUGAAGUCGUAACAAGGUAGCCGUAUCGGAAGGUGCGGCUGGAUCACCUCCUUUCUAAGGA
rnacentral:rRNA from 1 species